CUUCCGGUCCUGCUACCUGUUAGUCGCGUCUGGGCCCUCCGGGUCUGCGGGAGUCGGCGCGCGGCCCUGGGCCUCGAGAGCGUGUUAGGGAGGAGUCGCCUUCAUUUUUCGUGGAAGAUGGGAACUCCUGCCUUCCUUGGGAGUUGGGUUUUGACAUUUGCUCUUUGUUUGAUUCUCUUUUUUAACCUUUGAUCUUUCAGGCCGGCCUGGUCCCGCCCACUUCUGUUUUGCGGGCGGCUCUGGCCUCUGGUGGCCUGGGAGAGGAAGGCCGCCCUCACCCCUCACCCCUCACCGGCCUGGCUCUGGCCGCGGCUCCCGAGAGUAGCAGAGGCUCUAGCCGGUUGGCCUCUAGGAAUUAGGAGCCCGCGCUGUAUGGAGUGCCGGGGAAUCUCGUUUUACGGGGGGGGGGAGCGGGAAAGCAGGAAUUAUCUUACCUCUCUGUGCUGUUGUUCCACGGAUACACUCGGUCCCCGGUUGGGAAAGAACCAACACCUGAUUCAUAAUUUGAGAGGCCGAUGAGUCAACAGAGAAUAAAAUUUACAACUCUGGAAAAAAAAAAAAAAGAAAAGAAACCGCACAAAGAAGUUAUUCCCACCCCCCUCGCCUCGAAAGCUCCAUAGUCCUACCUCGGUCAUACCGAAAACUGCGGUGUCGAUCCAAAAAGAAAAGACAUAAGGUUUUCUUUAUUUAUUCAUGAGAAACACAGAGAGGCAGAGACAGAAGCAGGCUCCAUGCAGGGAGAAUGAUGUGGGAUUUGAUCCCUGGACUCCAGGACCAUGCCCUGAGCCAAAGGCAUGUGCUAAACCACUGAGCCACCCAGGGAUCCUGUAUGUUUGCCCUCCUUUUUGGUUGUUGCUGUUUAUUUUGAACUUUUAUAAACUUUUGAAAUCAAACACACUGGGACCCACCCGUCUAAAUGACCUAUAGAAGCCCUUCCAACUUUGAGAUUUGCUUUAAUGUGUAUAUUUGGUGAGCUGCCUCAUUUGUUUCCUGCCUGUUGUAGUCACUAUUCCAGCAUUGACAAUAUCCAGCAAAAUGCUCCAAAAUGCUGAUUUCAAUUACUCCCAUCUUAAGAUUUAGAUUUGUCCAAAAAAAAAAAAAAAAAAGAAAAGAAAUUU